GAACCGUGCGAACGUUGUUCGGAAUCACUGGGCUUAAAGGGCGCGUAGGCGGGCGGCCGCGUCCGGGGUGAAAUCCCGCCGCUCAACGGCGGAACGGCCUCGGAUACGGGCGGCCGUCGAGGGGGGUAGGGCGUGCGGAAUUCCAGGUGUAGCGGUGAAAUGCGUAGAUAUCUGGAGGAACACCGGUGGCGAAGGCGGCAUCCGUGGACCAACACGUGACGCUGAGUGAGCGAAAG
rnacentral:rRNA from 1 species